UGUAGUCUCGCACAGAUGCAUAUCAAUAAGCGGAGGAAAAGAAACUAACAAGGAUUCCCCUAGUAACGGCGAGUGAAGCGGGAAGAGCUCAAAUUUGAAAUCUUAAAGGGUUUCCCUUUACGAAUUGUAGUUUAAAGAAGUGUUUUUCUGUUGAGGUUUUGGUAAAAGUUCUUUGGAAUAGGACAUCAUAGAGGGUGAGAAUCCCGUAUUUGACCUUUACUUUCAACUUUGUGAUACACUUUCAAAGAGUCGGAUUGUUUGGGAAUGCAGUCCAAAAUGGGUGGUAAAUUUCAUCUAAAGCUAAAUAUUGGCGAGAGACCGAUAGCGAACAAGUACCGUGAGGGAAAGAUGAAAAGAACUUUGAAAAGAGAGUUAAACAGUACGUGAAAUUGUCAAAAGGGAAGCGUUUGACACCAGUGUUGUUUUUCUGAAAAUCAAUUAAAGAACUGUUUAUGCUAAGCUGUUUAGACUUUAUCAGCUAACUGUUUAGUUUUAAGCUUUUCUUUAAUGCACUUUUCAGUUAACAAGUCAACAUCAAUUUCUUUUGCUGUAAAAAAGCUUGAGGAAGGUGGCUUGAGAUUCGUCUUAAGUGUUUAUAGCCUCUUGCCUAUGCAGUCGGAGAGAUUGAGGUCUGCAGCGUAGAUCCUUCGGGGCUAAAUGCAUUUGUGCUAAAUUAUAGCAUUUUAUAGACAACUUGUUGAUUAUGAUUUGUCUUGUAGCUUACUCGCUUAUGUUAUUUUACCUACGCUUAGGAUGUUGAUGUGAUACUGCGAGCA
rnacentral:rRNA from 1 species